UUGUAACAUUAUAGUGCUUAUGACAACUUAGCAAUAUUAUAAAUCAAUUUUUAAUACCAUAAACGGCAUAAUCCUAUUCAUAAAUAACACGAAAGGGAUAUACAUAUAGUUGGCCGGUACUGUACCUGCUUAUAUUAAAAAGAAUACAGCAAUUACGUAAUAUACUGAUAUAAACUUACACGAUUUUUACACAAUUAUUUUGGUAAAAUAAUCGCUCGCGCUGGUAGAUGCACGAAUAAUGUCAAUAUAAUAACGAAUUCGUCUCCUGAGCGCGGGUAAGGGGGUGAAUGGAGGGGGGGGGGGGGUGUCCCAUUUAUGAUUUUCUUAAUGGUUAUGAUACUUAAUUACUUAUGAUUUAUUAUAACUCAAAAUAGGUGAUUUAUUAUAACUCAAAAUAGGUUAUAAGCGUUCCAAAAUUGAAACGCUUACCUUGUGACAAAUUGUACAAGUUGCCUUCAGUUGCACCUGGGCGAGCGAGAAAUGUGCACGUGCACAUCGAAAGAGAAAGAGACAAGCCUAUGUAAACAUAAGCUUGUCUCUUUCUCUUUAAACAACAAGUAUGACAAAAGUGAAUGGAGUGCGGAUAUUAAUUAAAAAAUAAGAAAUCAGAUUUCUUCAUAGGUAUAUCGAAGUAUUUUCUGUGCUCUUUAUGUAUGAGUACGAGUAUAACCUAUCUAUAGUUAUAUAUCAUUGUUUCUUACUCAUUUUUAAGGCAUCUAGAGGUAGAGUGAUCAGAUCUGAUUUCCGGUUUUACGGGACAACUGCAUUUAAAAUACGGGAUUCGAGGUUAAAAUACGGGACAGGCCGUUGUUAAUUAAAAAUCAACAUUCAUAUUGAAUUUUUUAAUCUUUGGCAUAAUCAAUUAAUAACCUAUACAAUUGUUAAAUUUCUUAAUGAAUGACCUUAAUAUUAUAAAACACAACAGUUAUUAUAUUAUCUGGAAAGGAAAAUGUUAAAUAAUCAAAAUAUGUAUUUUUAUCAUUAAAUAACAUUGCAUCAUAAAAUUACGGGACAAUAAAAAUUUUGUGCCUGAAACACGGGACGAUCCGUAAAAUAUGGGACGUCUGGUCACCCUAUCUAGAGGAGACAAUGAUAAAUGCAAAACUGAUUCUGAAUGUUAGCGCGCCCCAUCUCCUGGAUUUUAGAAGAUCUCAACCAUAAUAUAAUUAAAUCCACUUUGUCAGUAGAAAUAGCUGUGAAAUUCAAAUUUUAUAUUGAAGACGGGCCCUUCGCGCCUAUUUUUUUUAAAUUUUGUGCCUCAGUAUAGUUUAUACUGACGAAAAUGGCUUGCCAAACUAACUGUUCCACAGCUUCUGAAAGAAACCCGACGCGAUGUAGAAUCAAGAUUUUCUUUUGUAAUGUAAUAUGGAAGAAAACUAAGUUUACUAACUACAUAAUAAGAUAUGGAAUGGUGCAAAUUAAAAGUUCAGUUUGAUCUUCGGUUGUGUCUUUGUGUCUAUAUCUUCGAGUGAGGAAACUAGUAAAAUUAUACUAUAGUGGUUAUUGGAUCCACACUUGUGAACGGGCCCGGCGUCGGGCCCGAUGCAAGGGUCGAUUCCGUUUCACGAAAUAUCAGCACAUUGUUAACAGUAUUUAAAAUGUACAAAAAGUGUAAGUGUAAAAAUAUUUUUGGCAAUGCGGGACAAAGAUUUUUUUACAUUUAAAAUAUUGUUAACGAUGUGAUAUUUCGUCAAGCGGAAAACUACCUUUGCAAGGGUCAUCGGGCCCGACAUCGGGCCCCGAUUGUAAAUGCCCGGCGAUCGUGUGGAUCUAAUAGGAGUAAUAAGUCUAAUAACCCUGUAAAAAAAAUACCUAAAUGAUGCCUAAAUGAAACCAAGUUUUGAGUAAAUUUUAAAGAGUAAAGUUAUACCACUGGCCACUUUGUCGAUUAAAACGGCAGAAAAUUUUGAAAAACGCUGGCUGAAAGAAUCAAUCUUCUAUACAAAUUCAUAUACUCCGAAUCGAUAUUACUUAAAAAUAUAAUAUUAGUCCUUUUCAGUGAAUAAAAAUGAUGAAAAUAAAUCAUAAAAUGAAUAAACCGAGGAAUAACAAAAAUAUUACAUGCAUUUUGUAAAUUUUUUUGGGCAAAUUUUGUCUACUAAUUUUUAAUUCAAAUCUCCUGGUUAGGACAUGUAUCUUCUGGUUUUGUCACUGUCAUAUUGGACCUGGCAACUCAGGCUGACGCAACUAGGAACAAAAAAAGUUUUGUAUGGAGUUUGUUUCGCAAAUUAUAGCCAACAAUGAAAAAGAAAACAUCAGUGCUAUUUAUUCUGUCAAGUUUACAUCAAGUCAACUGUCAGCCUAAUUGUUUUGUUUGUUAUGAAGGCUUCAAUGUUUUGUUCCGGUAUUUCGUGCAAUUUCUUUUUUAUUUAGUGAAAAAAUCGAAAAUAGUGAACCGUGAUCAGAGUAAAGAGCGAGUUUGUUACAAUGCUACCGAGAAAACGGUUCACUAAGUGUGAAAUAUGUAGCAAGCGAGCCACUCGAGAAAAUCACGAAUAAAGGGAUUUUAUGGCGAAAUUUCUCUUGGAUGAAAACCGGUAAGUAUUGCUUUAGAUACUUUUGACUUUAUUUUGGAUCAGCAGGCUAUAAACACAUCGAAAAUUUGAUAUUUUAUAUUCUUUUUCAUGGUGAACUAGGGAUGUACUGUAACUAUCGAUAACUGUAGGUUUAUUUGUGUAUCAGUGUAAAUAAUUAAAUUAAAUAUGUGAAAUUUCCUGAGAACCUGCAUGCAGUAUGACCAUAAUUAAUUCGUCGAAGAUUUUCAGUGGGAAAUAAUCUAUAAUUUAUGCAUUAAUGGUCAUUAGUUACCAUAUUUUUUUUACCUAGUAAUUAGUGAAUAUAUUAACCCAAAAUGUAAGAAAAUUAAUCUCUGUUUUUAUGAUAAAUAAAGAAAUAUUAUAGGACAUUAUUAUAUAUAUAUAUAUAUAUAUAUAUAUAUAUAUAUAUAUAUAUAUAUAUACCCCGCCUAUGAAGCCGAUGGUCAUAGGCAGGGUCACUGCCAACUAGGCCAGACCGGUUCUCAUGAUUAACAGACAUAUAAAUACAUAAAAAGUUAGAGCAUUGAUAAAGGGUUGUUGGUAACUGGAUGCCAAAAAACAUGAUUUAUAGAUGCAUAUUAGCGCUAAAUAAUUAGUUGAUCAUCUCAUUAGUCAUUAGCUUGGAACAUAAACUGUCUUUAUCAUAUUUGUCCAAGGCUGUAUGUUUUCAGAAGCAGGCAGUGGGUGAAAUUUGUUGGAAACGAAGACCUGAUACAUCUUCCCAUAGAAAAGUUACAUUUACUGAAACAUGUAUGUGCAGAUCAUUGUGUAAAAGAAAGCUUUUAAUAAAAAAAACUCGACUUAAAAACUGUAAAUAAUAAGACUUAAAAAAUAAUUCGGGUCCACAUAAGGCCCGACCACGUAUUAGUCCACUCAAAGAACUAUCCACUACAACUUAAAUGUGGACUCGAUACUAAUCUGAUUUCGAGUACAAAAUUUGUAGACAGGAGCCUAUGUUUCAACCCUACCCAUUUUAUCGAUAUCGACAAGAAACGCAAGCGUGUAGCGUACUACACUAUUUAAAUCGCUUAUGUUGGUACUAUCGUUCUUUGACAGUUCCUUCUCGUACAUUUUGGUAAUGAUUUGCGAAACAAAAUGGUUCCACUCGCUUGUAUGGGAGUCCCGUCUCUUAAAACGUAGUGAUUAUAUGCUCUUUGCUGGCAACACUGAUUUCAUUCCUCCAGCGCUCUCGGCCAGAGCGCGCGUGCAUACUGCUAAUAAGUACUCGCGAUAUACAUACCUAUUACAAUUUGGUGUCGUUUUCAUCAUUUUUGAACCUUCGUUAACAAGUUUCGAGCCGGAUUCGACGUAAAGCAACUUUAAAGACGCCGUUUCUACGAGGUCAAUCAAACACAGAAGAUAGCGCGCCUAGCCAAGACUACGAUCGCCAUCUUAUAUCAACUUAUAACAUCGGAGUGAAUCACCACGAGCCAAGCCUAAGCUACAACUACCACAACAAAGCGAAGUUUGUGAAGUCAUCGUUCUGCCUGUGAAUAAAGAAACAAGACAAUCCAAACCAGAAAAGGGUUCCACAAACCAAGAAAGGUUCCACAUACCAAGAAAAGGGUUUUCAUUAUUUAUUCGCGAGUCGUUUCUAUUUUAUUUCUUAUUGCGCAGAAAUCAGCACGUGUUCGUAUUUUUACGUACACGUAACCGAGUCGUGCCAGGGCCGGAGCUACAGCGUGCACGUGCACGUGUACAUCGGCUUCCGUCAUUGUUAGCGCUUGCUUGCCUGCCUGCCUCUGCCACGCCACGCCAUUGCCUCUCCCACGCGCGCUAGUUGAAAAUUUAAAAAAUUACGUAUCGUUUCACUCGCUAUAUUAUUUCACAUUAUUUAAUUUAAACACUUGCUAAUCACAUUUUCCUAUUGCAUCUGGAAAUUUGAAUUCUAUCGCCAUUUCUAUAACUUUUAACUAAUAUUUCACUUUCUCUUACAAAGCUAUUGUUUUCUCUAAAAACUGGCAUUUUUCAAUACUUCACGUAUUGCCAAAAUGGAUUUAAAUAAAAAAUCUCAAAAAACGCGUGCCUCUUUCAAAUCAAGGCUUAUCAUACUUAAGCUUACCAUAAGGCUUCUAGGAAUUACAUGGUAAUAUAAUUCCUAGAAGCCUUAAGCAAUGAAUAAAAAAACCUUUCACAUUUACUCCUCGUCCGGCACUCAGAAGACGAAUUUGUUACGACUGAAAAUAAUCUUCGUAAGCCAUGCCUUAACUCCGACCACGCUAACUUUGCACUGACUUGGCAGUAACAAUAUAUGAGAGUACCAUUAGCCGUAAAAGUGCAUGGCAACUUUCUUAUUUUUGCACUACAAAUUUAGUGGUCACAUAAUUGUAUUUUGUUUAAAUAUGAAAUCUUAUUUUAGGGGAGAUGUCGAUAGGACGGAGACGCUAAAGUAAAGUAGUAAAAAAACUGGGUAUUUAAAAUAGGAUCAGUGUUAUUUAUUAAUCAAACAUGAAUUACGUAUUAUAGUUUUAUUUGGCACAGCUUGGGACUUGAUAACUAAUCAUACAAAAAAAAUUAAAUUACAACUAUAAAAAAUGGAAAAUAUGCCAUCUUAUCCCACAUAUGAGGUAAGACGGGAUACUAAAAAUAGGGCGAGCUAGGGACAUAGGGGAAGAUGGACUCUAUUUCUCUUCAUAGAACAUACAUAGCAAGACAUCCUCCAUAUCUUCGUCUUCGACUUCAGCGGUGGCAGCAUGGUUCCAUUUUUAUCACUUGUCACUAUACCCGUCACUUUCGCGCUUACAUACUUGUUAGAGCGUGACAGCCAUGGUGACAAAUGAUAAAAAGCCGACCAUCUUAGCCCUACAGCACAAGCUGAGUGGGCCCAUCGCCCACGCCGCUGAUCCCUAUCCAGUUUUCCGACGUUUAUAGAUAAAAAUUGUUUUCAUUGUUGCAAUAUGCAAAAUUAUAUCUUGUGUUUUUUACCUGAUUCCUUACCUUUAUUUGUGACUUUCUUAGUCAUGUUAUUAUCAACAGCUGGUUUCGUAGGUUGUUUCCUUCUACUUUUCGAAACUGCUUAUCAAAAUGCUGACCAACACAUCUUCUGCUUUUUUCAUAGCUUCUUUCUCUUCUUCUCCUUUCUCUGUUCUAGUCGUCUUUUUUAUAAUUUCCUAUUAUUGUAUCAUACCACUGUUUUUCGAAAAACAAUAAAUGGAUGCAACAUCACGACAAGCAUUGUACCAUAAACCUGUUAAAAGAGGCAACAUGAGGUAAACCCCAUAAUGCCUCGCAAAUUUUGCCCCGUCUUGCCUUCGCCUCCAUAAUUUAACAAAUAUAUUCUUUAAAAAAAAUACAUUUCAAGCAUUUUGACUUACGCCUCAUGAUAAUCACAAAUGCGUUACAAAAUCUACGUUGAUCAGGCACUACUACUUAUGGUUUUAUAACAAGUUAUUCAGCUCGUCAAUUCUAGUUCCAUGAAAUCGGUAAACAUCGAAGUCGGACCGAUGGCCAUUACAUUCGUGUGUGGGGGGGCUCCGUCUUAUCCCUAUCUCCCCUAAGACUGAAGACACACCUAACCGACGAAAGGAUUUAGUGACGUGGUCGGAUAUUCAGUCAGAAGGUCAUUCGUAAGUCUUGCCUCCUAUUAAGCUAAAUAAAAAAAAUUUAUUAAAAAAAAAUAGGUAUUCUAAUACUCUAACCUGAGAAGUGAAGAAAAGAUUAAGUUACGCCGACAAAUUAUUUAAUAGGUACCUACUUGAUUUAAGUUAUUAUCAUACUCUUACCACAUUCCUUUUUUUACAAGACUGCCCGAAAAAGAUAAAAAAUAUAAAUUACAAUACAAACACAAACUGAAAUCCUCAGAUUUUGCUGACCAUUUUUAGAAACUAAAAUUGAUAUUAGAGAUGAGCCGAAUAUAUUUUUAGUAAUCCCGCAUUUGAUCUUCUUAUAUCAAAAAUUAUGUACUUAACUAAUUUGCUCAAAUACAUUUUUUUUGUUGUUGAAUUAUAUUUACAUCGUUUUCAUAAGGCGGAAACCAAACGAAUACACAAAAGCGAUUUUUUUAGACCUUUAACUUGUGUCAGUGAGCAAAGGCAUAAUCGUAUACAUAAGGUAUUUGGCAUUAUUCAUGUACCUAAAUAGUAUAAAAUAUAAGGUAAACGGUGCAGAAUGUGCAGUUUUAGAACGGUAAACUAAAAUAAUUAAAAGUAAGAGAAGGGGCUACCCCGCUGAUUCAUACUAUUAAUGAGCGAAUCAGUUUAAAAUGACUGCAGUUUUAAAAGAUAUGUGUGAUUUCAUAAAUAUUGCCAUUUUUUUCGCUAGGGGUUUUUGUCUUCAGGCAUGCAAACUCCGAUUGCAAGUAAGCCCUAUUAAAGAAAAAAUAUGACUUUAAUUACUGAUUUUGCUAAUUUGCCUUGUCUUAUUGGGUUUGUUCAUUUGGUAUGAAAAGUGUGUUACUCGGGUGCAAGGCACCAUUUCAUCCACAGUACUAUUUUAAUAUGUUUGACUUGUUCCACAUUGUAAAAUUUAAGAUUUUCUAGAACUUUUUAAGUACUCUCUCCCGAUGUCAUUAAAACACACGAUUGGGUCAGUGGGUCAGUUCGCGGUGACGGGUGUGGCAUUUCAUCUCGAAUAUUGGCACCUAACUUUGUGAUCAGUAUGGUUUAAUUACACGAUUGCUUCACUUUUGUAUUAGUCUCACUGGAAUGUUUGUAUUUUUUUUUUUCAAACAAAGAUAUGACUGUUCAGUAUUACACGUAUCACAACCUAUGUUACGUGAUAUGCACGUCUAGCGAAAUUAAAGAGCUUUUUCGUACUUAAUCAUGACUAAUGUGUUAAAAAGGAAUGCUUAUUUUAUUUCUAUGGUUUAAUAAAUGAUGGCUGUUAAUUUUUUUUAUAAAUUAAUACCUGUGACGGGUGUGACAAGUUGAUUUAUGGGAAAAAAUAAAAUAAAAAGUCAAUUCAUAAAAAUCAUUAUUUAUUAUUACAUUUAUCACUUUUUUAAGAAAUUAUUGUUCAUAAACAUCAAUAGUCUCAUCAAAAAUAUAAUAAAUGCGUUUGUCGUUUGUAACCAACACAGGUGAAGGCAAUUUUUCUAUUAUAUGCUCAUAUACGUCAUUGUCGGAAACUUUAAAUAAUUGUCCACUGUCGUCACUUAGUCCUCAAUAAGUUACAGUGAUUUCGGCUUAUUCGCUGUUGAUUCUUUUCUAAUUUUUGUUUGCUUCUCAACAACAUUGUUCGUUAUUUAUCACUCCUUUUUUAUCUCUUUCUUUUUACAAAAGCAUUCUUAGCUUUUCAGGGUCUCUUUUAAAAUUCUCUCGACUCUUUCUCUUCCUCGCAGCUGCGUCUACAUCUAUUGCGCGUAUCACAACCUAUGUUACGUGAUAUGCACGUCUAGCGAAAUUAAUGAGCUUUUUCGUAUUUAAUCAUGACUAAUUUGUAAAGGAAUGAUUAUUUUAUUUUUAUGGUUUAAAGAAAAAAAAUGGCUGUUAUUUUUUUUUAUAAAUUAAUAUUACCUGUGACGGGUGUGACAAGUUGAUUUAAGUGAAAAAAUAAAAUAAAAAGUCAAUUCAUAAAAAUCAUUAUUUAUUAUUACAUUUAUCACUUUUUCAAGAAAUUAUUGUUCAUAAACAUCAAUAGCCUCAUCAAAUUUAUAAUAAAUGCGUUUGUCGUUUGUAACCAACACAGGUGAAGGCAAUGUUUCUAUUAUAUGCUCAUAUACGUCAUUGUCGGAAACUUUAAAUAGUUGUCCACUGUCGUCACUUAGUCCUCAAUAAGUUAGAGUGAUUUCGGCUUUUUCGCUGUUGAUUCUUUUCUAAUUUUUGUUUGCUUCUCAACAACAUUGUUCGUUAUUUAUCAGUCCUUUUUUAUCUCUUUCUUUUUACAAAAGCAUUCUUAGCUUUUCAGGGUCUCUUAAAAUUCUCUGGACUCUUUCUCUUCCUCGCAGCUGCGUCUAUAUCUAUUGCACGUAUCACAACCUAUGUUACGUGAUAUGCACGUCUAGCGAAAUUAAAGAGCUUUUUCGUACUUAAUCAUGUCUAAUUUGUUAAAAAGGAUUGAUUAUUUUAUUUCUAUGGUUUAAAGAAAAAAAAUGACUUAUUUUUUUUUAUAAAUGAAUAUUACCUGUGACGGGUGUGACAAGUUGAUUUAAGUGAAAAAAAUAAAAUAAAAAGUCAAUUCAUGAAAAUCAUUAUUUAUUAUUACAUUUAUCACUUUUUCAAGAAAUUAUUGUUCAUAAACAUCAAUAGCCUCAUCAAAUUUAUAAUAAAUGCGUUUGUCGUUUGUAACCAACACAGGUGAAGGCAAUGUUUCUAUUAUAUGCUCAUAUACGUCAGUGUCGGAAACUUUAAAUGAUUGUCCACUGUCGUCACUUAGUCCUCAAUAAGUUACAGUGAUUUCGGCUUUUUCGCUGUUGAUUCUUUUCUAAUUUUUGUUUGCUAUUCAACAACAUUGUUCGUUAUUUAUCACUCCUUUUUUUAUCUCUUUCUUUUUACAAAAGCAUUCUUAGCUUUUCAGGGUCUCUUUUAAAAUUCUCUCGACUCUUUCUCUUCCUCGCAGCUGCGUCUAUAUCUAUUGCAACUAAUUACUUAUCUUAAAAGCCAUGCAAACACCCUAUCGUAUUAGCGAGUAAGCGUCACAAAAGCCAAAUUAUUCAGAAUAAAUUGACCCAAGAUAAAUUGGCUCAUAUACGGGUCAAAAUAUUUCCACAAAUACUAAAUUACCACUCAUAUAUUGUUUUACCACAUACCCUUACUUUGAUAUAGAAAGCACUCAACAAAAUGAUUCUAAGAACAUGCGUCAUAAAAUAUUCUUAGUGAAUUGUGAUAGACUUGAGUUUAAUACAUUUACUUAUUUAAUAUUGUUUUUUUUUUGUGGCUAUGAAAAUGUAGUGGCGAUAUUCGUACUUUCUUGUAUUUGUAGUAUCGUUUACCGCGGACUGACCCACAUGUUGAAUCUGAAAUUGUUUUAAAUUUAAUGUUUACGCAAUUUCAUUCGAAAUGUGCUUGUUAUGGUCCGGUUUUCUUUAUAUCUUUACAUACUGUGACGAACUCGCUUCUUUGGUAACAAUCCUUUUCUACGAAGUAUCGGGGGAAAAUGUCAAUAUUUUCCACGGUGUAUUUCCUAAUAUCUUCCCGUGUGCAUGUAUGAAACUGCACACACAGUUUUGCAAUUUUAACAGUAAACAACUUGGCUGCACAAUGGCGUCAAAGACCUCUGACGUUGACACCUGACUCGGACACCGUCUUGCGGCCUCUCGAAGAGGAGCGGUUGCACGGCGGUGUCGGACGGAAGGGGUUGUCUUCCAGCCAACAAUAAAGUAGGUUUUCACAUAUGAAAACCCUAUUAAUCAUUUCAUUUCAUUUCAUUUAUUGCAUUUAUAAUCAUGUGUUACAUAUGGUCUUACAAAGAGCAUUUUACAGCUAGUGUUCACAUGAACCCUGUUAGGGUAUAUGGCAAUAUACUUAUAACUAAAACUAAUUACUAAAACAUGAUAUUUAUAUAUUUAACAUUUAAACUAUUUUUAUUUAUUAUAUAUGCAAUAUGACACGUCUUUUCAGUGGAAAAAUAUAAGACAUUUUAAAAAUUAUUAGAAAUAUUUGGCUGAGAGGGCAAUCCCUUCCAAUGAGUAGCUCCUGAGUUUUGCCCCUGUUGUGUCUACGUGCGUUAUCCAAUCAACCAUCUCCCCGAUACACUUGUUGGAAAGGAACGCGCUGAAAAUUGCGCCGAUCGAAUUUUGAUCAGCACAUUCCUUUUAAAAAAGUUUUCAGGGAUAUCAGUGAUUUCUUUAAAGUUAUAGACCGCUUCUAUCCGUCAGAUCCCCGGUGUAUUUAAUGCCGUUCAUAAAGGAGGACAAUUGGGUCAUCCAUUUUUUAAUAUCUAUGUGUAGUUUUACGUCCACGUCCUGAUAUUGACGAAACAGCACGUCGGCGAAGAUUGAAUUUGUAUGGUAGGUGGGCCACAACGCCUGUAGGUAUUGCACUUCCGGGAACGCCGAUGGCUCUUUGGCUCCACUAAAUGUACUGUAUUCAGUCAAGAAGUAUUUUUUAUAAACCUCACGGUCAUAACGAAACAAGAAACGAAAAACCUGUUGACGGGGUCCAACAGGUUUUUCGUUUCUUAUUAUGAAUAUUACGAUACUUUGGGGAAGGGUCGGGUGGACCUUGAGGCCAACAAGCAACUGGAAAAACUCGAGGCCCUACGCGUCAAAAUCGAUGGCAUUUUGUAAACGGUCGAAUUUUGCGGAGGUGCCUUGAGCCCGUGUUCACAUGCUACAGUGUUAAAUGCAACAGUGACGUGUUACGGACAUUUUUGGUUUAAUUGGAGAGUGUUGAACAUUUUUUUGCGAGUCACUCUUGCCUUUUUUACUUGUUUAUUUCUAGGGAAUCGCCUAGGAAGCUAUUCAUCUUUAGUUGAUUUAUAAGAAUAAUCCAGAUUAACCGAAUAAUUGUGCCCAAUAUUCAAUUUGGUAAGAUCUAAAUCAAACAUUCGGUUGAAUAUUAGUAUUCGAGGAAAUCCAUAUUCGGCUCAUCUCUAAUUGAUAUAAAAGCAUACGGCCAAAUAAGUCAUUGUAUUUUAAAAAUUUCCUGUAAAAGGUACUUUUUAGGAAAGGAAUUAAAUAAGGCCACGUUGAAUUUCCUACAAGUGUUUCUCUUACUGCUAGGAGACUAAAGGUACUACUACUUUGAAUUUACUUAUGUUAUAUUAUACCUCAAUAAUUUCUAGUGUGUCCUGCAAACAGAAAAAAAGCUUUAUGAAAAUGCAAUGUCAAUAUUACUUUAAAAACUUUCCAGUCAUUUAAGGGUACAAGUUUGGCGUUAUCAUCUGUCGGGCAUAGGGCUUGCAAUUAUACGCUCUUUUUUGUAUCCGGAUUAUUCGAAUACUUGUUAUUUCACUAUACGGAUAUCCGGAUAAAACAUAUAAUUCGAAUAUUUACUUUUUAUUGAUAAAACUCACAUGAAUUUUAUAGAAAGUGUAAAGUAAUAAAAUUUUACGUAUAAAAGGCGGCGUAACAGCAAGUGUUAAGGUAUUUUUAGACGUUCUACCUUUUCGCCUAUGAUUUUACGGUGACAAUCAAUCUUUGGCCAUUUACUUUUUAUGACUUUUUUUGGUUUCGAUUUUUUCUAAGUAGAUUUUCAUUAUGGCAUUCAAAAUUCGAUUACAUAGCCGUGACGAUGCGAUGCACGUAAAAUACACCGUUAUAAAAUGUCUUUGUAAGAUUAUGUGCAAACACAGUAACUGUUAGGUUAGGUUAGUUAAGUUAGUAUUAAUUAUUGUGUUAUAAAAAAAUAUUUUCGGCACUGAUUUCUUACACAGCCUUUACUUGCUUGAUUGGAUGGUUUUUCUAAUUGGUGGCACAAACUGUAAUGUAACAAUUUAUGAAUUAUAGAGAUCAUUCAACCCUCCGUUUAAUAUUUAUAGCCUGUGAUACGACAUUCUUUUCAUAAAAUACUUGAGUCGAUCAAGAGAUUUUUGGCUUUAUUACUUAUAUACAUUUCACGAACAUGAUUUUUUUUAUGCUAGUCAUUUUUUUUACCAAAUUAUCCAAUUAGACAAAAUGUGGUUUGAUUGAUAUUUUAGAAAAUCGAAUAUUUUUCUAAUAGUUGAGACAGUCUCUUCUCGUUACAUUGCAUUUAAGGACAAUCAAGGUUUUCAUUGCAAAUUUAUUCAAAUGCAAAAUGCUUUACUACUGCUUCACUGGCUGCUUCUGUGACCCAAAUAACACCUUGGCCUCUGACAAACACCACUGACCCCUUUUCUGCGCCACUUCGUCUUUUAGGGCUUUUUCACUCCGGCCCAGCGGUACCUCGGACGCCCGGAUCGACGUUCUCCACCCGAGUGCCACACAUAUGCUUUUCUUACAGCUCGUUCCUUUUCUAUCUUCCAGAGCCAGCGAAGUCGUGUUGUUCUAAUCUCGCCAAUUGUAUUGGGUGUCGUAACCAGCUUAUAUUAUACCGUUUUCAUUACAAUUUUCAACGUUUCUCAAAUAGUUUUCUUAAAAACUGUAAUAAGAUUUUUGUCAUAAAUGGUAUGCAAAAUAUUCGUUUUAUCCGGAUAUCAACCUCACAAUUAUCCAGAUAUUAAAUUGGACGGAUAUCCGGAUAAAACGGUUAUCUGGAUAUCCAGAUUGCAAGCCCUACUUGGGCAUCGUAUUUUUUAGGAUUUUUUACGUAUUCAUUACUGUUUUCCCAAGUCUGAUAUUUGAUUCUUUUUACUAAGAUUUAUUUAAAAGCUUUUCCAUUGUUUUACAAAGUAUUUGCGCGAUUUGCUUAAAAUUUGUGGUAAAUUAAAUUGGUAAUAAUUAUUUGUUUUACAAGGGAGCAAAGCUGUUGUUUCACCGCUCGCGCUCCCUAUUGAUUCCUGAGCAAGCGAAAGAUAAAAAAAAUAACUGCGAGCGUAGCGAGUUGUUCGAAAAAAGGAAUCAUGAGGGUUGCGACUGUUUCAAGGAGGAUUAAACAAAUUUUGCCACCGAUCGAAAUACACAAUUUCAUCACACCAAUGCAUUCAUGCGUUUUUCUUUUGACGCAGAAUAU